CUACGUGCCAGCAGCCGCGGUAAUACGUAGGGUGCAAGCGUUAAUCGGAAUUACUGGGCGUAAAGCGAGCGCAGACGGUUACUUAAGCAGGAUGUGAAAUCCCCGGGCUCAACCUGGGAACUGCGUUCUGAACUGGGUGACUAGAGUGUGUCAGAGGGAGGUAGAAUUCCACGUGUASCAGUGAAAUGCGUAGAGAUGUGGAGGAAUACCGAUGGCGAAGGCAGCCUCCUGGGAUAACACUGACGUUCAUGCUCGAAAGCGUGGGUAGCAAACAGGAUUAGAUACCCUGGUAGUCCACGCCCUAAACGAUGUCAAUUAGCUGUUGGGCAACUUGAUUGCUUAGUAGCGUAGCUAACGCGUGAAAUUGACCGCCUGGGGAGUACGGUCGCAAGAUUAAAACUCAAAGGAAUUGACGGGGACCCGCACAAGCGGUGGAUGAUGUGGAUUAAUUCGAUGCAACGCGAAGAACCUUACCUGGUCUUGACAU
rnacentral:rRNA from 1 species